rnacentral:rRNA from 1 species
GACGUAGGGCGCGAGCGUUGUCCGGAUUUAUUGGGCGUAAAGAGCUCGUAGGCGGCUUGUCGCGUCGAAUGUGAAAACCCGAGGCUCAACUUCGGGCUUGCAUUCGAUACGGGCAGGCUGGAGUUCGGUAGGGGAGACUGGAAUUCCUGGUGUAGCGGUGAAAUGCGCAGAUAUCAGGAAGAACACCCGUGGCGAAGGCGGUUCUCUGGGACGGUACUGACGCUGAGACGCGAAAGCGUGGGGAGCGAACAGG